CAUACUUAAAGUAUAACCUAUUCGUGUAUUUUUUUCCACAGCUACGUUUUUGCCCGAUCGAGGUUUCUGUUCCCUCAAGCUAGCGCCGAUUGUUUCUUCUUGCCAACAAUCCCUAAUUUUCGCCGUCACCGCUCAGAUCCGCUCAAGCGCCGCUACCUCCUCUCCCUUUCUCCUCUCUAACCUGCUCUUGUCGUCGCCACUUCUCUCCCCCACGCUCAUCAUCUCUGUCGCUGCUCCUCACCCUUUUUCCUCCCUAACCCAUUCUCGCUGUCACCACUCCUCUCACCCACGUUCACGCAUCCUUGUCGUUGCCGCCGCUGGCCUCCAUCGCUCAUCUCCACCACGAUUCCUCCACAGCACUGCCUCCUCUGUGUUUCCUUAGGCUUACGGAAGGAAGUAGUGAGUGGAGGUUUUGGUUUAAGAAAUUUGAAGUUUUAAAGGUAUUUCUUUGUUACAUGUUACCUUUUGUUUUUGUGUACUGUUAAUUUUUUCAAUCCGAACCCUACCUCCAUGAAAGUAAGGCUGAUUGAUUCCCCAACAAUACAAAUAAUUCCUUGUUGCAUUGCUUGUAGUUUGGAGAGGUGUCUGAUGCAAUUUCAAUACAUUUUUCUGUCGUUUUCAUGUAAUCUUUAAAUGAUUACUUAGAGUUUGUUUAAUCCAUGCAUGAUUCUGAAAUGGUCAUAAUUGGAACUACAAGCUUUCUUUUUUGUUACCUUUAUUUUUUUUUGUACUGUGUAUUUUUCUUAUCAGAUUCCAUAUAUUUUUGUAUCCUCUUAAGUCAUGAUGUUUCAAAGUUUUUGAUCACCAUUAUUGUUGCAAUCAGAACUCUUUGUUAAGUAUUAGGUUUGACAUACUUAUUUGUUAAUCAAAACUCUAAGUUUGUUAACUUAUCAUGCGCUAAGCUAAUUGUUUAUGAUCACCAUUAUUGUUGCAAUCAGAACUUUAUAUUUAGUAUUGUUGCAAUCUUGAAAGCAUUUCCUAUAGCUAGCAGUAACACCAGAUCACCUACUUCAGAUACUUCACUGCAGCAAAUCAAGCACCUGCAAAGGGAACAGAAGGAAGCUAUGAGGUGAGUGGAGGUUUUAGUCUAAGACACCAGAAGCUUAAGCUUUAAAGGUUUUUCCUUGUUACCUUUUUUUUUUUUGUAUUGUAUAUUUUUCUUUUAUACUGUGUAUUAUUCUUAGGUGAGGUAAUUAUGAGAUACCAUAUAUUGUUGUAUCCUCUUAAGUGAUGAUGUUUCAUUCUUGAUUUGUAAAGCCUUAUCCCAUGUCUCUUUAAAUUUCAUUUAAACUAUAUUUGUGGUCUAUA